CCCGCCCUCUGUGCUCCUCAGCCAAUCCCUGCUGUCCACUGAAGGGAAGGUGGAGCCCAGCGCUCAGGAGGCGGUUCAGUUGUGAUGAAAGAGAGAUGCUGCGCGGCUUCUUUUCCUCCUGGAGCGGAGAUGAGUGGGGGCAGGAGCUCCGUUGGAACCCCAGAUCCUCCAUACUGGUGACUGAACCCGAAGCAGGAGCUGGGGAGUCCAAGCUAGAAGAAAAAAUGUUUCACACAACAAAAGAACAACAACCAGGAUGGUCACAUGACAAAUCAUAACAUUCAGGUCACCAAUUGGAUCCGAGGCUCCACGCUUACCAAUUCAAAAUCAGGGAGCCUCAGAUCAGAAACCUGCAGCAGCCAAUGAGAGCGAGCUGUCUGGGAAGCGUCACCAGCGUGCAUCUGCUCGCGCUAUAAAAUGUGUAAACCUGCUGAUUCCCUCUUCUCAGCCUCGAGUUCACUCUGAACCGUCUGCAGACAUGUUGGUCCCCCGUCCAUGCCAGGAGAUGGGCCUGGGGUUUCUGGAGAUGACCGGACUGCUCCUGGGAAGGAGGAAACUUUUGUCAUCUGGAUGCAGAAGAGACCGGUCGUCUUUGUUCCCGGGUCUUCCUUCCUCACUGUCUUUGUUUUCACCCUUAUCACCAUGACUGUUAGGGGCUUUGUCACUGUGGUGCAGAGCAGACAGAAGGAGAAGUGGGACUGAUCUUGAACCAGCCGGCUGAUGGUUCUGGUGAGAAACUGCUUCUGGA